UACGUAGGGUGCGAGCGUUAAUCGGAAUUACUGGGCGUAAAGUGUGCGCAGGCGGCAGAGCAAGUCGAGUGUGAAAGCCCCGGGCUUAACUUGGGAAUUGCGCUCGAAACUACUUUGCUGGAGUGUGGCAGAGGAAGGUGGAAUUCCACGUGUAGCGGUGAAAUGCGUAGAGAUGUGGAGGAACACCAGCGGCGAAGGCGGCGCUCUGGGCCGGAACUGACGCUGAGGAGCGAAAGCGUGGGUAGCAAACAGG
rnacentral:rRNA from 1 species